CUUGCAUAUAAGGCAUUGGCAGUAAGCGGUCAAGGACCUUGCAAACACCACAAUCAGACCAGGACUUCCAUACACUGACCGUUAACAGAACAUGGGGGUAUUUUUCCUGAAUUUCCUUAGGGCUUUGAAAGGGCCAACGAAAAACUUACUUCUUAGAACGACACUUUUUUUCGUAUAUCUUCUUUUCGGUGCCGCAGUAUUUCAAACCAUUGAAUCCGGCGAAGAAAGAAGGGAAAAGCAUCAUUUUGAUAUAGUUCGACAAAACCUCAAGGAAAAGUACAACAUCUCUGAGAAGGAAAUGGCAAAUUUGUUUAUGGAAAUUUCCAAGGCAGUCGAUGAGGGCUACUUUGACGUGAAUUACGAUCGCUGGAGUUUCGCUGGUUCGCUUUUUUUCACCGGAACAGUUGUCACAACAAUUGGAUAUGGUAAAAUGGCCCCAGCAACAGUAUGGGGGCGUAUAUUUUGCAUUUUCUACGCCAUAUUUGGAAUUCCGAUCACAGGCCUUAUGCUCAAGUCCAUCGGGGAGCGAAUAACAGAAGGCAUUGCCAAUUUCUUUCGAUUUAUAGAUCGACGAAUAUGUAAUCGCGAUCCACAGUCAAUUCAUAUGAAGACUGUUAUAGCAGUGUUUGUCAUAGUUAUAUCAAUGCUUCUCGUACUAGCUGCUCUAGCAAUGGAGUAUGAAGGGUGGACGUACUUUGAAGGGCUAUAUUUUGGUUUUAUCACGUUAAGUACCAUUGGUUUUGGCGACUAUGUCCCUUCUCAUCCAUCAGAAAACAAAGAUCACCCAGCCUUUGUCAUCAUCUUUACCGUAAUCACCUUUGUAUACUUCACUGUGGGACUUGCUCUAGUGUCCAGUGCUCUUCUAGCGAUUAGCCGUUUGUUUGAGGACGAGCCGCCAUGGGGAUUUAUUUCCUUGGGAAUGAAUCCAGAUGAUGACGAUGAAGAUCGAAUUACGCGACAAAAACUUCAAGCUCAACGACUCGACGCGAAAAAUGAAGCCCGUUAAGUUUACGUUUAUUUUUGUAGAAUAAUCUGUGGGUUUGAGAAACACUGCUGGCCACGAUGUGUCAAUCUUUACCGAGGAACAAACGUAGGGUUUAACGCUCUAUACAAUGUAUUGGCAAGGGAAUCCUAAUAAUUAACACCGCUACAAGCCACUGGAGUCAUUUAAGAAAUUCUGGUUAUUCACACUAAAGAUCUAAUAAUUCUGGGAAAUAUUUUGUUGUCAUGACAACGUUUUUACCGAAUUAUGAAGGUAUUUGCGAAGGUCUGAGUGCAUAUAAGUGUAAUCACCAAAGCUGGGCACUGUUUAUAAAAGAAUUAAUAGGAUGGGAAAAUAUAGAAAAACAAUAAACGAAACUAUACUAAAAACACAGAAUAACAUUCCUGAAACUGAACGUAUAACAAGUGGAUUUACGAGCAACAUGUUACAUGGUAUAAGAAUGGUGCAGAAUCGGUCAAUGGUAAUCUUCAACAGCAAGACGAAACCGAAAUCGCCAGGNCACGUGAAAGUCACGUGNGGGCAUCAAUUCAACGAGUUAAUACAUAGUUUUCUGAACGUCGUAAGCAAACUAAAAUUUAAUUGCAGAAUAUUCCAUGGUUUGACAUGUAAUCUUCUGAAACUACUAAUCAAAGUAAAACAAAGUACUCCCUUUUUGUAAAGGAGUCUCUCAUUGGAGAGAAGGUUUCUAUUCAUGCCAAACUGUCUUCAGAAAGUAAUCUUUCUGUUUUAAAAAGAUAUGGAAUACUAUUCGGACAGUUUUAAAUCGUUUAUAUACCUGUUUCAAUUGCUAGUGAUAACAGAAAAUCGUCAUUCUGGGACUACCUUCACAGUUUGUCAAUACAAACAUUAAGAAAUGAGUAUGUNGGAGAGGAAGGAUUAUGAAAUUCAAGUGUAAUUUGGCUAUCGGUCUGUAGCCUGCGUCACAUCCGGACAAACUUUCGAACCGAAAGUUUGUCCGGAUGUGACGCAGGCUAUCGUUCUGGAGUUUGACCACUUUCAUUAUCAAAGUCUAUAAAUGAAAUACGUAUAUAUCGAGGAUUAUCAAAAAAUCCACAUCAAUAUCGUUCCAUAUCUGUUAUUCAAAAUAAUUACGAAAGCUAAUAUAUUAUCUUGUAAUGUAUUAUAACAGAGAAUUAUAUAUAUAUUAUUAUUAUUACUAUUAUUAUUAUAUUAUAUCAAGGUAAGGAGCGACUCUGGAAGUUGACUUAUAGCCUCGGGUAAGGCUUACCAAAAUAUUUUUUCGGCUAAUGUGGGAUAUAUGACGUCAUGUUUUCAAGCUAAUUCGAAUGUCUAGUGAAUAUCUUUAUAAUCUCAUUAGAAAGGGUUCUAGUUGUAGCUUUUAGAGUGAAAGCAUAGUGUUUGCAAUAAAAACAUGUAAUGGCANCCCUGCGCGUGACGCAGAUCCAUAUGGACGACCAAAGGGACGAUUUUCGCUCUCGGGAACGAGAAUCUGUUGCCUCUUUUGAUUGACCUUGUGGGACUUGGUAUAAGUCGCUUAAUUUGCAUGAUGGUGAGGUUAGUCUGUAGAAAUUUUCCUUCGCACUCAAUGGUCGAGAGUCGACCACGUGACGCGAUAGUGUCUGCCGCAGAGGUUUUAUAUCAGUGCAUAGAGCCCACUAAUUUUAGACUGCUUUGCAGACUUUCAAUAUUUAUGAUCGACAACUUCGCUGAAUACAUAAUUAUAGUAUUUACCAAGAGCAUGAAUAUAAAUUGCCUGCAAAGCAAGCUAGCUGAAUUUUGCUUGCUUUAGAAAAUGUCGUUGUUGAAUAAUACUAGAUAACAACGAAGAUCUCGGGCAUUUUGCUUUGAUAGUUGCCCUUGGAAACUACACCAGAUUUUCAUCAAAACUUCAUAGGUUUUCCAUUUGUUCUUCAGAACAUUCAGUUUCCAUGGGCAGCUAUCACUUCAUAAUGCUCUCGUGAUUCAACUUCUCUAUUGUUUAAAAAAAAGAUCACAUUGUCCUAAAGAAGUUUGGUGUUAAUCAUGAAGAUCAAAAGUGAACAAUUGAUAGCUUUUCAAAAGUGCUAGAUUUUUAGUAACAAAUGUACGGGAAUGUGGAAAAAUGCGGACGCAACCAGCAUUCUAUACAUUUCUUCAGAAAUUCUAACAUUUUUUAAAGCCAGUAAAUCGUUCGUUGUUGAUGUGAUUCAAAAACAAUUUUGAUAUAUAGUCUUCUUUCACCAUCAUACCAUUUAAGGGAAUUGUAACCAGUCUCUCACGGCACGAAGUCAGGCGAUCUAUUUGACGCAUCAUGUCACAAGGUCUGUCAAAUUUAUGCUUUUUCUCUUUCUGAUUUAAUGUUGAAUGUUUUCACUCUGUUAGCAUAUUUACUGUUCGUAGUCGUGGUUAUAGGCAUCCUCCUUCACAGGAGACUCGGUACUUCCUGUGUUGCUUGAUUGGCAACCAAGCAAGCAAGAAUAGUAUCGAGGCCAGUCCUCUCCUCUUCCUCUACUUGCUAAAGGAAGCACGACACGAGUUUCCUGCGAUGAACUAGGAAAAUAUUCAAGAGAAAAUCAUUUUGUACCGUUACAUUCUAUCAGUAUAUUGGUCUUUAAGUAAUGGGCUAAUCAACUGUAAUCAAGAGAUAGAGAAUUAUUUUCUGCAGUCCAAAUCUAUCAAUACUAUUAAACAGCUUAUAAACCAAAAAAUUAUUUUGACAAAGAAUAUUUUAACUACAGUAAAACAACGUAGCGAAUUGUCCAUGAUUAGGUUUGGAGGAAACGUUUUUGACUUAAAUAGGGCAAGGACUAGUAGCUAAGUAGUGGCGAUAGCUUUAAUGUUUUUUUUGGUGCUGACGAACUGUAAUCAAAAAGAGAAUGCAGGAAAGGUCUUUUAUCAGAACAUAUGAUAACUAUAGAUACAUAAUAUUCAGUUCCUGCCUUUCUUUAAAGUGCACCUAAACCCUCAAAAAUGACAUUUUUUUUCUCAAAUUUGGGAAGUUUCUAAGAGCUUUGGCGAGAAAAUGACUCAAUCUCAUUCAAUUCCUGAUUUUGUGCAAAUGUUUUAAGGUGGAUUUCGGAUGGAGAGCUUCGAAAGAAGUAUGGAAACGAGUGUGACGUCAACCCACACAAUAAGACAAUACCUUCUCUGAUAUUUGGUGUGUUGUUACAACCGUAAACAACACCGAUUCGGCAUUUUUAAUUCAAAAAUCUUUGAAAACUCUACUACCAACAGUGUUUACAUGANGGUUUCGCAGUAUCUGAUAGAGCGGAUUUCGUAUGAGUGGGAAACGGACGGUACUGUACUGUGACUGUAAUCGUACUGUAAUCAAA
rnacentral:misc_RNA from 1 species